rnacentral:lncRNA from 1 species
GUUAUAUUGAGAAGUGGGGCCCUUAGGAGGUGAUUAGGCUAUUAGAGGUCAGCUCUGGUGAAUUGGUUAGUGACUUAUAAAAGGGCUCGAGGGGACAAGUUUGCCUCUUCUGCUCUUCUACCACACAACAUUCAUCCUGCCUUGUCCCUCCAUCCCCUUCCCCUCAUGUAAAGAUGUCUCCAUGAGAAGGUGCCCUCAGUGGAGUAGAACCUCACCAGAUACUGAACUUGCCAGUGCUCUGACCUGGGACUUUUCAGCAACCAGAAUUGUGAGGAAUAAAUUUCUCUUCAUUAUAAAUUAGGUGAUUGAUCAUGGGGCAGAACUUCCAUGAAUGGGGCUAGUACCCUUACAAAAGGGUCUCAAGAGAAACCCCUCACCAUUUCCCCUAUGUGAAGACACAGUCAAGAAGCUUCUGUUUCUGAGCCAGAAACAGGCUCACCUCAAACACCAAAUGUGCCUUGAUUUUGGACACCACACCCUCCAGAAUUGUAAGAAAUAAAUUUCUAUUGCUUAGAAAUCUACGGAGUUUAUGGUAUUUUGUGGUAACAACCCAAAUAGCUAAGACACUUAACCUGGCAUCGAGGUGUUCAGUCUUUCAUGAAAAAGAAACCACCACCCUGCUGACAUCUUGGAUGUAAGUCUUCCGAUUGUUCUUUGCGGAACAGAAAAACUCUGCAUGAGUAUAUUUAUCUACUGUUUUAUAAUCAAAUUCCUACGUGUUGCUUGCUGACGUUUCUCUUACCUAAGAAGCAGCAUAGGUCAGAACUCGAGAGCACGGGGACCCAUCACUUACUUGACAUUGCCCUGUGUCCCCAUUUUCUCCUCCCUUUAUUCCUUCUUUCAAUAUUUUAGGACACGGAGACCUGCUCGGUAUCUUCAGAAGAGGAGCAGCCCUACUAUUUCUAGUUUGUGCCAAGAGGGCUGUCCCAAGUAACAAUUGACUUUGUUCCACUUGGAUUCUGAGUGGCCAAAGAGGGACCACUUAACCACAAGUUUACUGCAGAGCAGUCCCCUGCCGGGCUCCUUUUCCAUGGAAGAGGAAUCUGCUACCAUCUGUAUGUGACAAGAGCAAGCAGCUUGGGGCCUGUUUAAGUCACUGUAUGAG